CAUGUAUCAACUUUUAUUUUGUUGAUUUAGAAUUAUAAAGUUGAAAGCAAUUCAUGUAUUUUGGAGAAUGACAAAAAUGUAAUGAAUUAUGGUUGAUUGGAAAGAGAAUGUAAUAGUUUUAGUUUACUAGUAUUUCGCCUAGUGAUGAUUGGGUCUACGCUUGCGAGCGAGAGACGCCGUGUGUAGUUGAGACAGGUUUAGGCGGUAGGCCAUGUAGGAUUGGUG
rnacentral:lncRNA from 1 species